GCAGUUCUACUCAGUCGGUAGAGCAUGAGACUCUUAAUCUCAGAGUUGUGGAUUUGAGCCCCACAUUGGGCA